ensembl:snoRNA SNORA71 Small nucleolar RNA SNORA71
CCCUGUAUCGAAAGUGAUCGUGGUGUGAUUGUUGCCAGAUCAUUGAUAUUGCAGGAAGAGUGAACUGAAAGUCUUUCCUCUGUUCCUGACAAACCCUGUUUCUUUCAGACA